UACAGAGGGUGCAAGCGUUGUUCGGAAUCACUGGGCUUAAAGGGCGCGUAGGCGGCUUGGCAAGUGGAUGGUGAAAUCCCUCGGCUUAACCGAGGAACUGCCGUCCAAACUGCAAAGCUAGAGUCCGGAAGAGGAGAGUGGAAUUCCUGGUGUAGCGGUGAAAUGCGCAGAUAUCAGGAAGAACACCCGUGGCGAAGGCGGCUCUCUGGGACGGUACUGACGCUGAGACGCGAAAAGCGUGGGGGAGCGAACAGG
rnacentral:rRNA from 1 species